UAGGGUACGAUUGGGAAGACCAUAAUAUUGAAGAACAUUUUCAAAGUUCUACAAGUAAUAAAAGGACACAGCCAGGUGUGCUGCUACGUGCCUUUAAUCCAUGCAUUCGUGGAGGCAGAAACAGGCAGAACCAGCACAACAUGGGUGAGCCUGUCAAGUUGGAUUCUACAUUGGGGUGGACAAAUUGGGAUGGACGGUGCCACAUUUGGACCACUUUUGGAGCAGGUUUUAUAUGAAGUUCCUUUCUGGCACUAGGAAACACUUUGCCUACCCCUUCCAUUAAUAGAAGAAUUAGCAGUGGGGAGUAUUACUGUAUGGACACCAUCUUAGGCUUCAAAUCCAGAACUAGGACCUUCUCUUUGAUGAUGAUAACCUCCUUGAAAUUUACUGUCUGUUUCAGCACGUGACUGCCAUCUGAAACUACCUAAUGAUGCUUUUCUCAACAAACCAAAAACUAUGUUUAUUUCUGCUCCACUUGUCUCUUUCUUUCACUGUGGUCCUGAAUGUCUCGCUAACAAUAACCAUUUAACAGAUUUAGUAUUCCAAGUAAGAAAUGAAGCCUGAUAUUUUUUAAUUCUAACUUACUCAAUUGCUCAGGGCUUGGGCAGCAUAAGUAUGAUUUUCAGUCAAAAUAUCACACAAAUGUCCUCUAGCUUAAUUUUUCAUGGAGUCUAUUGUCCACUGAAAUCCUCCAACCUGAAAUUACUCUGUCUGCAUUACUCUCAACACUCUGAUCUACUAGGUCCUACCAGAACAGUUGAUGAAGCUCUGUAUACAGCUUUCUAAAGCUUUUGCCAUCUUAAAUCCUGAUGUUUUCCACAUUCCUUAAAAAGAGAACACUCCUGAUGCUCUUUAGGUGGAUGACACCUAAAUGAACAUCAGUACAAAGUCCCAAUUUAUUUCUAAUAUCAGAGAUUAGACCUCUACUCUUGCCUGAUGCGUCUAAAACAAAAAGGGGGAACUGUAGAGAGCUGUGUAAUGCUGCGCCUUAAAGAUGGAGCUGGUUUCCACUUUCCACCUUCCCGGUCAGUGCUUUCUGUCAUGAACAACUCCACAUUUGGCUAAGGCUGAGGAUCUGGCUUGCUUCCAUGUAUGUGGACCUAUCGGCAUUGCCCACGUGGCAUGCUGGAGUUGGCUACCCAGAGGCUAUUUAAGCUGUGGGCUGGCUUUCCCCAGGGUCAGAUGAUUGUUCAAGGUUCCUGAAUAAACUGCAUUGAAAAAAAAGAGAGAGAACAUUCCAAGGUUUUGUCCAGCAGUGAAAUCACUCUUCCCAUAUAUAUUUGUUCUAAUUUCCUACUUUGUUCUGUGACUACAUCCCCUAACCAAAAGACUGUCAGGUCAUGAAUGUGUUUAUUCAUUGAGUCUGGUACUGUCAGAUCACAGUCCAUCAUUUUGGGAGCUUAGCAUGGAAAGUCAAGCUUGAAGAAAAUUAAGGCAAAAGCCAUGGGCAAAUGUUUUCUGGGUUGGUCUCUUGUUUAAUCAUUGUCUCAUGCUCAGGUAGUUAUCUUAUGUGGGCCAGGCCUACUUGCUUAGGAAUAUUGCAUCUCUCAGUAGAAGAGCCUUCCCACAUCAACCAUCUGUCAACACAACCUCUCACAGAUAUAGCACCCAGCUUCUCUGAUGAGGGCAUGCUGUUAAUUGAGGCUCCCUAAGAUGACUGUAGGCUUUGAAAUCUUGACUAUUGAAGCUAAUAAGGAUAAAGAGACAAUAUAUGAGGAAGUUUUAAAAACUCAAAAGCAAUGUGUUAAUACUAUCAGUCACUUACGUAGCAAAAAUUGAGACAUUGAUGAGUGCAACUUGAAAACACAGAUACACCAAGAAAUGAGGAGAGGCAAGUCUUUAAGAUCAAUAAGAGUGAAGUAAAACUGUUUCUCUAAAUUAAGUCUCCAAAUCAACAAAAAUUCAAGGAAUUAAAACAUAAUAUAAAUUUUCAGAAGGCAAAAAUAUGUGAAGGUCUAUGACUUUUGAGAGAAACAUUAUAGUUAGAUUAUAACUAAUAAAAUCACACAAUAUACAUAGCAUCCCUGCCAAAAGGAAACACAAAGAUAGGCCUAUAAAUAUAACACAGUCCUAUAAGCAAAUACAAUAGGAUUAUAGUCAAAACCAAAAUCAAAGAACUCA